GUGGGGAAUAUUGGACAAUGGGCGAAAGCCUGAUCCAGCCAUGCCGCGUGUGUGAAGAAGGUCUUCGGAUUGUAAAGCACUUUAAGUUGGGAGGAAGGGCAGUAAGUUAAUACCUUGCUGUUUUGACGUUACCGACAGAAUAAGCACCGGCUAACUUCGUGCCAGCAGCCGCGGUAAUACGAAGGGUGCAAGCGUUAAUCGGAAUUACUGGGCGUAAAGCGCGCGUAGGUGGUUUUGUAAGUUGGAGGUGAAAUCCCCGGGCUCAACCUGGGAACUGCCUCCAAAACUGCAUGACUAGAGUACGGUAGAGGGUAGUGGAAUUUCCUGUGUAGCGGUGAAAUGCGUAGAUAUAGGAAGGAACACCAGUGGCGAAGGCGACUACCUGGACUGAUACUAACACUGAGGUGCGAAAGCGUGGGGAGCAAACAGGAUUAGAAACCCCAGUAGUCC
rnacentral:rRNA from 1 species